GACGAACGCUGGCGGCGUGCUUAACACAUGCAAGUCGAACGGAAAGGCCCUGCUGUUGUGGGGUGCUCGAGUGGCGAACGGGUGAGUAAUACGUGAGUAACCUGCCCUUGACUUUGGGAUAACUUCAGGAAACUGGGGCUAAUACCGGAUAGGAGCUCCUGCUGCAUGGUGGGGGUUGGAAAGUUUCGGCGGUUGGGGAUGGACUCGCGGCUUAUCAGCUUGUUGGUGGGGUAGUGGCUUACCAAGGCUUUGACGGGUAGCCGGCCUGAGAGGGUGACCGGCCACAUUGGGACUGAGGUACGGCCCAGACUCCUACGGGAGGCACGAGUGGGGAAUAUUGCACAAUAGGCGGAAGCCUGAUGCAGCAACGCCGCGUGCGGGAUGACGGCCUUCGGGUUGUAAACCACUUUCGCCUGUGACGAAGCGUGAGUGACGGUAAUGGAUAAAGAAGCACCGGCUAACUACGUG
rnacentral:rRNA from 1 species